GAUAAUGACAACAUGACAACAACAGUGGCUGAUGUAAUGAAAAUAUGGAAGGUGGUUGGUAAUGGACAUCAGGUGGAUCCAUGUCUGGGUGUUGGGCAGAACCCCCUAGGUCCUGGAGAACAGAAGCAGAGAAAAGGGAACCGGAUAGGAGACAGACGUAAACAAGCAAACACACAGGUUAAAGGAUUAUCAGAUUCCUCCAGCGGCUUCUCCUUGACCGUGUGAGUGAAAUAAGGCGACCCAGUGGGGAAGUCGGAGAGAGUGCGGCGAGAGGAAGAGAACCACAUUCUUGUGGGGACGCAUCACUCCCCCUGGGGCACACCAAACAGAAAGACACAUAAUACCGCAUCCCAGGCUUUGUAGGCUAGACAUAGUGAUGGGGGAAAGAAUCGAUACAGUAACAUGUUGGGAUAUUAUUUUUGUAUCGUUUUGACAAUAUAUAUAUAUAAAAAUAUAUUUAAAAAAUAUAUUAUCCUUGCCCUAGUUGGCUGUACCAGCACCAAUAUGUUUGGACAAUGGAAUCACAGUAAAAUCACAGUAUUGAAUCAUUUGAAUCAGAAUGCGUAUCUUAUCGGCACCUAAGUAUCGUGAUAUCAUAUCAUGAGGUCCCUAGCAAUUCAAACGUCUCUCACUUUUAGGCCACCUACAUCUGACAGUUGUAGAAUAAGCCUAUGCAUCAUGUACUGGCCUAUAUCAUCCUCCUAGUGUGUCCUGUCUUCUUUAUAUGGUCUCUGUCCCAUUCAGUGGACUAUGUAGACGGGCACUCUUCAACAUACAGCCUUCUGAAUAGAGGUCACGACCCCACCACAACCUACAAUAGCCACACAUGGUCUCUCUGCAACAGUUUGAUCACCAAGCAAUCAAUCCAUCACACAAAUCAACCCACACCCAUUGAUUUCUUUUCCGAACGCGGGGCGGUGACAAUUCAAUUUGAGUUGUUGUUAGCUGUUUCAAGUCAUCGGUAAUUGUCCACCGGUAAAUGUUUCCCCUCUAAUUGCAAUGGGAACCAGGGUUGACAGACAGACAAGCUGGAGGGAUUCAG
ensembl:lncRNA